GUGACUGCGUACCUUUUGUAUAAUGGGUCAGCGACUUAUAUUCUGUAGCAAGGUUAACCGAAUAGGGGAGCCGAAGGGAAACCGAGUCUUAACUGGGCGUUAAGUUGCAGGGUAUAGACCCGAAACCCGGUGAUCUAGCCAUGGGCAGGUUGAAGGUUGGGUAACACUAACUGGAGGACCGAACCGACUAAUGUUGAAAAAUUAGCGGAUGACUUGUGGCUGGGGGUGAAAGGCCAAUCAAACCGGGAGAUAGCUGGUUCUCCCCGAAAGCUAUUUAGGUAGCGCCUCGUGAAUUCAUCUCCGGGGGUAGAGCACUGUUUCGGCAAGGGGGUCAUCCCGACUUACCAACCCGAUGCAAACUGCGAAUACCGGAGAAUGUUAUCACGGGAGACACACGGCGGGUGCUAACGUCCGUCGUGAAGAGGGAAACAACCCAGACCGCCAGCUAAGGUCCCAAAGUCAUGGUUAAGUGGGAAACGAUGUGGGAAGGCCCAGACAGCCAGGAUGUUGGCUUAGAAGCAGCCAUCAUUUAAAGAAAGCGUAAUAGCUCACUGGUCGAGUCGGCCUGCGCGGAAGAUGUAACGGGGCUAAACCAUGCACCGAAGCUGCGGCAGCGACGCUUAUGCGUUGUUGGGUAGGGGAGCGUUCUGUAAGCCUGUGAAGGUGUGCUGUGAGGCAUGCUGGAGGUAUCAGAAGUGCGAAUGCUGACAUAAGUAACGAUAAAGCGGGUGAAAAGCCCGCUCGCCGGAAGACCAAGGGUUCCUGUCCAACGUUAAUCGGGGCAGGGUGAGUCGACCCCUAAGGCGAGGCCGAAAGGCGUAGUCGAUGGGAAACAGGUUAAUAUUCCUGUACUUGGUGUUACUGCGAAGGGGGGACGGAGAAGGCUAUGUUGGCCGGGCGACGGUUGUCCCGGUUUAAGCGUGUAGGCUGGUUUUCCAGGCAAAUCCGGAAAAUCAAGGCUGAGGCGUGAUGACGAGGCACUACGGUGCUGAAGCAACAAAUGCCCUGCUUCCAGGAAAAGCCUCUAAGCAUCAGGUAACAUCAAAUCGUACCCCAAACCGACACAGGUGGUCAGGUAGAGAAUACCAAGGCGCUUGAGAGAACUCGGGUGAAGGAACUAGGCAAAAUGGUGCCGUAACUUCGGGAGAAGGCACGCUGAUAUGUAGGUGAAGUCCCUCGCGGAUGGAGCUGAAAUCAGUCGAAGAUACCAGCUGGCUGCAACUGUUUAUUAAAAACACAGCACUGUGCAAACACGAAAGUGGACGUAUACGGUGUGACGCCUGCCCGGUGCCGGAAGGUUAAUUGAUGGGGUCAGCGCAAGCGAAGCUCUUGAUCGAAGCCCCGGUAAACGGCGGCCGUAACUAUAACGGUCCUAAGGUAGCGAAAUUCCUUGUCGGGUAAGUUCCGACCUGCACGAAUGGCGUAAUGAUGGCCAGGCUGUCUCCACCCGAGACUCAGUGAAAUUGAACUCGCUGUGAAGAUGCAGUGUACCCGCGGCAAGACGGAAAGACCCCGUGAACCUUUACUAUAGCUUGACACUGAACAUUGAGCCUUGAUGUGUAGGAUAGGUGGGAGGCUUUGAAGUGUGGACGCCAGUCUGCAUGGAGCCGACCUUGAAAUACCACCCUUUAAUGUUUGAUGUUCUAACGUUGACCCGUAAUCCGGGUUGCGGACAGUGUCUGGUGGGUAGUUUGACUGGGGCGGUCUCCUCCUAAAGAGUAACGGAGGAGCACGAAGGUUGGCUAAUCCUGGUCGGACAUCAGGAGGUUAGUGCAAUGGCAUAAGCCAGCUUGACUGCGAGCGUGACGGCGCGAGCAGGUGCGAAAGCAGGUCAUAGUGAUCCGGUGGUUCUGAAUGGAAGGGCCAUCGCUCAACGGAUAAAAGGUACUCCGGGGAUAACAGGCUGAUACCGCCCAAGAGUUCAUAUCGACGGCGGUGUUUGGCACCUCGAUGUCGGCUCAUCACAUCCUGGGGCUGAAGUAGGUCCCAAGGGUAUGGCUGUUCGCCAUUUAAAGUGGUACGCGAGCUGGGUUUAGAACGUCGUGAGACAGUUCGGUCCCUAUCUGCCGUGGGCGCUGGAGAACUGAGGGGGGCUGCUCCUAGUACGAGAGGACCGGAGUGGACGCAUCACUGGUGUUCGGGUUGUCAUGCCAAUGGCACUGCCCGGUAGCUAAAUGCGGAAGAGAUAAGUGCUGAAAGCAUCUAAGCACGAAACUUGCCCCGAGAUGAGUUCUCCCUGACUCCUUGAGAGUCCUGAAGGAACGUUGAAGACGACGACGUUGAUAGGCCGGGUGUGUAAGCGCAGCGAUGCGUUGAGCUAACCGGUACUAAUGAACCGUGAGGCUUAACC
rnacentral:rRNA from 1 species